rnacentral:rRNA from 1 species
UGGGGAAUAUUGGACAAUGGGCGAAAGCCUGAUCCAGCAAUGCCGCGUGUGUGAAGAAGGCCUUCGGGUUGUAAAGCACUUUAGGUCGGAAAGAAAAAGCUUCUUCUAAUACAAGAAGCCUUGACGGUACCGACAGAAUAAGCACCGGCUAACUCUGUGCCAGCAGCCGCGGUAAUACAGAGGGUGCAAGCGUUAAUCGGAUUUACUGGGCGUAAAGCGUGCGUAGGCGGUUUGUUAAGUCGGAUGUGAAAGCCCUGGGCUCAACCUGGGAACUGCAUUCGAUACUGGCAGGCUAGAGAACGGUAGAGGGAGGCGGAAUUCCGGGUGUAGCAGUGAAAUGCGUAGAUAUCCGGAGGAACACCGAUGGCGAAGGCAACCUCCUGGGCCUGUUCUGACGCUGAGGCACGAAAGCGUGGGUAGCAAACAGGAUUAGAUACCCGCGUAGUCC